rnacentral:snoRNA from 1 species
ACUCUCCAGAUUCCUACCCCUCAGAUCUAAACCAUUUUCUGAGUGGAUGGAAAAGGAAGAAAAGUAAAAUUGAAGUGGAUUUGGAGCCUUUGGUGACAUACAACUUCAUUUCAAACGUGU